UAGGGGAGUGAAAUAGAACCUGAAACCGUGUGCCUACAAGUAGUGGGAGCACUAUGGCCGCAAGGCAAUGUGUGACCGCGUACCUUUUGCAUAAUGAGCCCGUGAGUUACGAUGCGUGGCAAGGUUAAGCCGUAAGGUGUAGCCGUAGCGAAAGCGAGUCUUAACAGGGCGUACAGUCGCGCAGCGUAGACCCGAAACCCCUGCGAUCUAUCCAUGUCCAGGUUGAAGUGCGGGUAAUACCGCAUGGAGGACCGAACUCACUUUAGUUGAAAAUAAAGGGGAUGAGGUGUGGAUAGGAGUGAAAGGCUAAUCAAGCGGGGAGAUAGCUGGUUCUCGCCGAAAUAUAUUGAGGUAUAGCCUCGGGUGAAUUGCCUCGGAGGUAAAGCACUGGAUGGGCUAGGGGACCUACAAGUCUACCAAACCCAACCAAACUCUGAAUGCCGAGGACAACUGCCCGGGAGUCAGGCAGCGGGAGAUAAGUUCCGUUGCCGAGAGGGAAAGAGCCCAGAUCGUCAGCUAAGGUCCCAAAAUCUAGACUAAGUGUAGAAGGAUGUGGGAGCGCUUAGACAACCAGGAGGUUUGCUUAGAAGCAGCAAUCCUUUAAAGAAAGCGUAAUAGCUCACUGGUCAAGCGACCCUGCGCCGAAAAUGUAACGGGGCUAAGUCUAGUACCGAAGCUACGGGAACUCGCAAGAGUUCGGUAGGCGAGCGUCCUGAAGGAGAUACACGGUAGACGGUGACGACUACUAACGGCCUUCAGGAGUGACUAUGCGGGCAUGAGUAGCGAUAAACCGGGUGAGAAACCCGGUCGCCGUAAGUCCAAGGUUUCCUGGGGAAGGAUAAUCCUCCCAUGGGUUAGUCGAUUCCUAAGUCGAGGCCGAGAGGCGUAGGCGAUGGAAAGCAGGUUAAUAUUCCUGCACCACCAAGGAUGGCGUUGAAGCAAGCGGGACGGAGAAGGGUAGCUCAGCAGGCUGCAUGGUUGCCUGUUCAAGCCCGUAGGCUGACUUACUAGGACCCGAUAGGGACAAACGGUGAGUCAUUAAGGCCGAGAGGUGAUGAGGUCCAGUCCUAGACUGGGACACUGAGUAAUCCCACGCUUCCUAGAAAAGCCGCGUGUGGAGCUUCUUUUGGUGAUCGUACUGCAAACCGACUCAGGUGGACGGGGUGAAUAUCCCAAGGCGCGUGAGAGAACCCUGGUUAAGGAACUCGCAAAUUGACACCGUAACUUCGGGAGAAGGUGUGCCGCUGGCGGUUAGUGACUUCGCGUCACGAAGCUGUUGGUGGUCGCAGUGAAAUGGCGGUUGUGACUGUUUACUAAAAACACAGGACUCUGCGAAGUCGUAAGACGACGUAUAGGGUCUGAUGCCUGCCCGGUGCUGGAAGGUUAAGGGGAUAUGUCAGCGCAAGCGAAGCAUUGAACCGAAGCCCCAGUAAACGGCGGCCGUAACGAUAACGGUCCUAAGGUAGCGAAAUUCCUUGUCGGGUAAGUUCCGACCUGCACGAGGGCAUAACAACAUCCGCACUGUCUCGACCAGGGACUCAGCGAAAUUACAUUGGGGGUG
rnacentral:rRNA from 1 species